UCCUUGAUGGCCCAAUGGUUGGGAAUCUGCUUUCCAAUGCAGGGGACGUGGGUUCAAUUCCUGGUCAGGGAA
rnacentral:tRNA from 1 species